UACGUAGGGUGCAAGCGUUAUCCGGAAUUAUUGGGCGUAAAGAGCUCGUAGGCGGUCUGUCGCGUCUGCUGUGAAAUCCCGGGGCUCAACUCCGGGCUUGCAGUGGAUACGGGCAGACUAGAGUUCGGUAGGGGAGACUGGAAUUCCUGGUGUAGCGGUGAAAUGCGCAGAUAUCAGGAGGAACACCGGUGGCGAAGGCGGGUCUCUGGGCCGAUACUGACGCUGAGGAGCGAAAGCGUGGGGAGCAAACAGG
rnacentral:rRNA from 1 species